CGAAUGCUGACAUAAGUAACGAUAAAGCGGGUGAAAAGCCCGCUCGCCGGAAGACCAAGGGUUCCUGUCCAACGUUAAUCGGGGCAGGGUGAGUCGACCCCUAAGGCGAGGCCGAAAGGCGUAGUCGAUGGGAAACAGGUUAAUAUUCCUGUACUUGGUGUUACUGCGAAGGGGGGACGGAGAAGGCUAUGUUGGCCGGGCGACGGUUGUCCCGGUUUAAGCGUGUAGGCUGGUUUUCCAGGCAAAUCCGGAAAAUCAAGGCUGAGGCGUGAUGACGAGGCACUACGGUGCUGAAGCAACAAAUGCCCUGCUUCCAGGAAAAGCCUCUAAGCAUCAGGUAACAUCAAAUCGUACCCCAAACCGACACAGGUGGUCAGGUAGAGAAUACCAAGGCGCUUGAGAGAACUCGGGUGAAGGAACUAGGCAAAAUGGUGCCGUAACUUCGGGAGAAGGCACGCUGAUAUGUAGGUGAAGUCCCUCGCGGAUGGAGCUGAAAUCAGUCGAAGAUACCAGCUGGCUGCAACUGUUUAUUAAAAACACAGCACUGUGCAAACACGAAAGUGGACGUAUACGGUGUGACGCCUGCCCGGUGCCGGAAGGUUAAUUGAUGGGGUUAGCCGCAAGGCGAAGCUCUUGAUCGAAGCCCCGGUAAACGGCGGCCGUAACUAUAACGGUCCUAAGGUAGCGAAAUUCCUUGUCGGGUAAGUUCCGACCUGCACGAAUGGCGUAAUGAUGGCCAGGCUGUCUCCACCCGAGACUCAGUGAAAUUGAACUCGCUGUGAAGAUGCAGUGUACCCGCGGCAAGACGGAAAGACCCCGUGAACCUUUACUAUAGCUUGACACUGAACAUUGAGCCUUGAUGUGUAGGAUAGGUGGGAGGCUUAGAAGUGUGGACGCCAGUCUGCAUGGAGCCGACCUUGAAAUACCACCCUUUAAUGUUUGAUGUUCUAACGUUGACCCGUAAUCCGGGUUGCGGACAGUGUCUGGUGGGUAGUUUGACUGGGGCGGUCUCCUCCUAAAGAGUAACGGAGGAGCACGAAGGUUGGCUAAUCCUGGUCGGACAUCAGGAGGUUAGUGCAAUGGCAUAAGCCAGCUUGACUGCGAGCGUGACGGCGCGAGCAGGUGCGAAAGCAGGUCAUAGUGAUCCGGUGGUUCUGAAUGGAAGGGCCAUCGCUCAACGGAUAAAAGGUACUCCGGGGAUAACAGGCUGAUACCGCCCAAGAGUUCAUAUCGACGGCGGUGUUUGGCACCUCGAUGUCGGCUCAUCACAUCCUGGGGCUGAAGUAGGUCCCAAGGGUAUGGCUGUUCGCCAUUUAAAGUGGUACGCGAGCUGGGUUUAGAACGUCGUGAGACAGUUCGGUCCCUAUCUGCCGUGGGCGCUGGAGAACUGAGGGGGGCUGCUCCUAGUACGAGAGGACCGGAGUGGACGCAUCACUGGUGUUCGGGUUGUCAUGCCAAUGGCACUGCCCGGUAGCUAAAUGCGGAAGAGAUAAGUGCUGAAAGCAUCUAAGCACGAAACUUGCCCCGAGAUGAGUUCUCCCUGACUCCUUGAGAGUCCUGAAGGA
rnacentral:rRNA from 1 species